rnacentral:rRNA from 1 species
GGGGGCGAGCGUUAUCCGGAAUUAUUGGGCGUAAAGGGUGCGUAGGCGGUUAGGAAAGUCUAUAAUUUAAUUUCAGUGCUUAACGCUGUCUUGUUAUAGAAACUACCUUGACUAGAGUUAGAUAGAGGCAAGCGGAAUUCCAUGUGUAGCGGUAAAAUGUGUAAAUAUAUGGAGGAACACCAGAAGCGUAGGCGGCUUGCUGGGUCUUGACUGACGCUGAGGCACGAAAGCGUGGGUAGCAAACAGGAUUAGAUACCCUGGUAGUCCACGCCGUAAACGAUGAGUACUAAGUGUCGGGAUAAAACUCGGUACUGAAGUUAACACAUUAAGUACUCCGCCUGAGUAGUACGUACGCAAGUAUGAAACUUAAAGGAAUUGACGGGACUCCGCACAAGCGGUGGAUCAUGUUGUUUAAUUCGAAGAUACACGAAAAAUCUUACCAGGUCUUGACAUGCUCUGCAAAGCUAUAGAAAUAUAGUGGAGGUUAUCAGGGACACAGGUGGUGCAUGGUUGUCGUCAGUUCGUGUCGUGAGAUGUUAGGUUGAGUCCUAAAACGAGCGCAACCCUUGUCGUUAGUUACCAGCACGUAAUGGUGGGCACUUUAACGAGACUGCCAAUUAAACAUUGGAGGAAGGUGAGGAUUACGUCAAAUCAUCAUGCCCCUUAUGAUCUGGGCUACAAACGUGAUACAAUGGCUGUUACAAAGAGUAGCUGAAGCGCGAGUUUUUAGCCAAUCUCAAAAAAGCAGUCUCAGUUCGGAUUGAAGUCUGUAACUCGACUUCAUGAAGUUGGAAUCGCUAGUAAUCGCGAAUCA